CCGCCAUGUUGUCCUUAAUAAGCAGGUGUAUGAUCAAGCAACCCUGCUGAAGGCCAUUAAUAGCUCCCCAGGCUGUGCGAGGAAGGGUACAGCUUGCUCAUCACCCGCACCCUGCGACUCUCCUUGCGUCAGUUAUCCCCGGACCCCCAGCUGUGAUUGCCCACCUGCUCACCAGGACUGCGGAAAAGAUGUCCACAAACACUUCAUCCAUCCUAGAGGCCACAUCCGGUACCUGCUCCCUCAUUCUCUCCAUCCGCAGCAGACAUUUUCAGGCAACGCCGACAGCGGCAUCCUGCGUUUGUCUUCUAAGGACCGGAGCGAAUCC